AACGCACCUUGCACUCAGUGGUAUUCCGCUGAGUAUGCCUGUUUGAGUGUCAGUAAACUCCUCUAAACAACAAUUUGUUGCUUAGGAAUUGGAGAUGCACUUCUGCUUAACAUCCGUUUUGCGGGGAUUGCUUCUCUUAAACAAAGUGGAGUGUUCUGCGAAAUCUGCUUGACGCUCUGGCCUAGCUAUAACUUUCGAGUUAAACUACGCCUUAGCUUAGGAAUUCGCAAGAAUAAUAUUUGCUCCAGCAGUCUUUUUCGAAAGGCUCUGCUUUGCAGACCUUGAGAAAGGACAAUUUACUUUGAACAAUGACCUCAAAUCAAGCAAGACUACCCGCUGAACUUAA
rnacentral:misc_RNA from 1 species